rnacentral:rRNA from 1 species
UACGUAGGGGGCUAGCGUUGUCCGGAUUUAUUGGGCGUAAAGGGUUCGUAGGUGGCCAACUAAGUCAGAUGUGAAAGCCCCCGGCUCAACCGGGGAAGUGCAUCUGAAACUGGCGAGCUAGAGUACGAAAGAGGGUCGCGGAAUUCCCGGUGUAGAGGUGAAAUUCGUAGAUAUCGGGAGGAACACCGGUGGCGAAGGCGGCGACCUGGGUCGAUACUGACGCUGAGGUGCGAAAGCGUGGGGAGCAAACAGG